GGAGAAGUAUCGAAGAGGUCAUAACGAGCCCGACUCGAAAUCGGGUAGUCCCGUAAGGGGCACGUGGGUUCGAAUCCCACCUUCUCCG
rnacentral:tRNA from 1 species